GACGAACGCUGGCGGCGUGCUUAACACAUGCAAGUCGAACGGAAAGGCCCUGCUUUUGUGGGGUGCUCGAGUGGCGAACGUGUGAGUAACACGUGAGUAACCUGCCCUUGACUUUGGGAUAACUUCAGGAAACUGGGGCUAAUACCGGAUAGGAGCUCCUGCUGCAUGGUGGGGGUUGGAUAGUUUCGGCGGUUGGGGAUGGACUCGCGGCUUAUCAGCUUGUUGGUGGGGUAGUGGCUUACCAAGGCUUUGACGGGUAGCCGGCCUGAGAGGGUGACCGGCCACAUUGGGACUGAGAUACGGCCCAGACUCCUACGGGAGGCAGCAGUGGGGAAUAUUGCACAAUGGGCGGAAGCCUGAUGCAGCAACGCCGCGUGCGGGAUGACGGCCUUCGGGUUGUAAACCGCUUUCGCCUGUGACGAAGCGUGAGUGACGGUAAUGGGUAAAGAAGCACCGGCUAACUACGUG
rnacentral:rRNA from 1 species